rnacentral:lncRNA from 1 species
CUAGCCAGAGUAAAAAGGAAACCUCUGACAACCCAGCACCGAUUUUUGAGUAUUUAGAUGACCCAGGGGUUGCGCAACUCGCCCUCGGUCUCCUGGGCUGUGGUGGUCUCGGGGACAGAGAUCAUUUAUUACCUUUGUAUCCGAAGCACAUAGAAGGUGCCCAUUAGAAGUGUGUUGAAAGAAUGGACUGACAAAAUGGAAAACUCAGCAGAGUGCAAAGCCUGCUCCUGAAGACAGCUUGUUUUCAAGAUAUUCUUUCCAAGGUUACACAACUGGGAAUCAACAGCAGUGAACUCAAGCCUUUUCUUGUGUCUCGGACUGCCCAGAUCCCACCACCAAGGUUUUCUAAAGACCUCAGAGCAGAAAUGACAAAGAACAACAUAUUCCACCUUCUCAGAAGUAAACUCAUGAGUUUGAGGUUAUUUUCACUACAAAGAUGUUGACCUCCACAAACUGAGGAGAGGGAGACUGUGUUAUCUCACAGAGCUCAGGAGGUAACAUCUACAACUAGUCUAAGUGCUAAGACUAGCUAGUUGACUUACUUUAGAUAAGUCAUUAAUAGAUCUUCUAAGUCCUCAUCUGUAAGAGGGAGAUAAUGAUACUCGGGAUCUACUUAUCAAACUGAGCUGUUUUGAGGCUCAAAUUAAGAAAAUGGACUUGAAAAUCUUUUUAAAUAUUAAGAGUACUAUAGAAGUGUAAAGUAUUAUUAUUAAGAACUUUCAGCUAGGUCAUGCACUUUUAUGUGUGAGGCAGUUUUAAGGCCACGAAUAAUCAUUCUCUAGUAAUUGCAUACGUAAAUGCUCCCAGAGGUCUAUUUCAGCAGGCUAUUUAGAUAAAUCAAAACUGAUGACAAUGCUAUUGAUGAUGAUAAUGAUGAUACUUCUCUAUUCGUGAAUGAGAAGCUGGAAGCAAAGCUAACUGAUCUCCUACCUUGAUCUGUGGAAGAAGACUAAGUACCUUUUAGUGUUUUUAUUUUUUAAAGAUUUACAGUGGUGAUAUAAUCGGAACUGUAACUUUUACUAUCAAUGUGAGCCGGUGUGUUCACUCAUACUAAUCCAUUAGUAACUAAUUUUACUGUUUUUCUCUCUUCUCCUAUGAGCAUCUGGUAACAGUGCAGCUCCAAUAAGUCUUGCUUUGGUGCCUCCAGAGUGAUUCAAUCUUAAAAUGACUGUGGACUCUGAAAAGACAGGGAAAAACUGGCCAUGGGUUCUCACGGGAGUCCCCUGGCAGACAGGCAGACCUGAACCUGCUGUCAUCUUUAGGAGGUCAUAGAGUUGAGAAAUAUUUCCCCUGUGGAUACAAUACAAAAAGAAGGUGGGAAAGCAGACAGUGAAGAGCCAUCACCCUGUGUCCCCUCACAUCUGGUUUAGAACCAAAAAGUGUACGGAAUUUAGAAGUGUCUCGGAGAUGGGAGAAAUAUUCAUAUCUCCUUGAGUUGGCGCUCUCUUGUUAACGUCAGCAUCCUUCUUUAGCAUCUGCCUUUAUGCUUCUUCUCACCAAGGCAUUUCAGCAUGAAUAUGAAUCUGAAUCAAUGAUGCAUCGUACAUGGCAUCGGUAUAGAAAAUUUAACUUGCAACAAAGUCAGGCCAAAGCUUUUCAUAAAAUGUAAAGAUAUGUAAUGUCUUAAUUUACGUAUGGUAUUGUAGUCAGAGAAAGACUUGCUGGAAAGAAGACAGCUCACUUAAAUAAGCAAAGGGAAAUAAUUGCUAUAAAAAUACAAUUAAUUUCAUAGAUAUCCAAGGACAGAACAAAGUUCAUGCAUAUAGGUACCUAUAUGAUCUAACAUGGCUAGAACAGCAUGAUUUUUCUGUGCUCUCCCCUCACAUAAAAACAUGCAAGGAAAAGUUUUCUACUCUGAUUUUCUAAAGAAUUUAUUUGAAAAGAAAAAGGGCAAUUGUUUUUAUCCACAACUAUAUUGAUAAAUCCUCUUAUAGUCUGAGUAUAUUAAAAGACUUAAAAUAAGCUUUGAAUUGAACUGGAAACUUGUUUACAUGAUGCUACUUUACAUAGAUCACCAAAAAUAACUUUAGUUGUUUUCAUUUUCAACAUAAAUAUGGGGAUUCCAUAAGUAGUACCUAUAUUGGGUAAAAAUAAAAUAACAUUCUGAUGAAUAGACA